GCGGAUGUAGCUCAGCUGGUAGAGCGCAACCUUGCCAAGGUUGAGGUCGCGGGUUCGAAUCUCGUCAUCCGCUCCA
rnacentral:tRNA from 1 species